rnacentral:lncRNA from 1 species
ACGGGACCCGAAAGGCUAUGUUGGACCAUGGACUAAAUCCGGCAUUAGCGUGGAUGAAAAGAUGAUGAAAACAUGCUUGAAAACAUGUUUGGAGAGUCUCGGUUCGAUUUGAAGUGAAUCGGAUGUCAAAUGAGCGAAAACGAGUGAAAACGGAGCGAAAACGGUGAAAAAGCUGAAAAUUUGGCUAAGUCCUUGAAGGCUGAUUUCUGGA